AAGGGAGUAGUUCAAUGGUAGAACCUAAUACUUCGGUUACUAAUAUGUGAGUUCAAUUCUUGCCUUCCUAC
rnacentral:tRNA from 1 species